AAUGGGCGCAAGCCUGAUGCAGCCAUGCCGCGUGUGUGAUGAAGGCCUUAGGGUUGUAAAACACUUUCAUCGGUGAAGAUAAUGACGGUAGCCGAAGAAGAAGCCCCGGCUAACUCCGUGCCAGCAGCCGCGGUAAUACGGAGGGGGCAAGCGUUGUUCGGAAUUACUGGGCGUAAAGCGCACGUAGGCGGACUGAUCAGUUGGGGGUGAAAUCCCGAGGCUUAACCUCGGAACUGCCUUCAAUACUGUCAGUCUUGAGAUUGGAAGAGGUGAGUGGAAUUCCUAGUGUAGAGGUGAAAUUCGUAGAUAUUAGGAAGAACACCAGUGGCGAAGGCGGCUCACUGGUCCGAUAUUGACGCUGAGGUGCGAAAGCGUGGGGAGCGAACAGGAUU
rnacentral:rRNA from 1 species